AUAUUGGGCGCUUUUUCAAAUCCCGCCGAUUUACGGCUGAUUUGUUAUGACGUCGUUGUUAGUGUUUCUUCAAGUGAGCAAAGAUAUAGAAUUUUAUAAAUUGUAAAUUUCCAAUAAUUCCAAUGGCUUUACCAGGACCAUCUCCAACCUCCAACUCUCGCCAGGGAACUCAUGGUUUAAAACAGAUUGAUUUGGACCAAAUUUGGGGUGACUUGAAAGAUGGCAUUGAGCAAGUUUAUACAAAUAAACACCAAAAUAUGUCAAAGACUAGAUAUAUGGAAUUAUAUACUCAUGUUUAUGAUUAUUGUACAAGUGUUCACCAGUCAGGACAACGAGCAACGGGAACAAAAGGAAAAAAGGGACAUCCUCCUGGUGGUGCUCAGUUUGUUGGUUUUGAGUUAUAUAAAAGGUUAAAGGACUUCUUGAAGAAUUAUUUACUCAAUUUACUAAAGGUAUGAGUACUUACAGUAUUUUUUUAUUUCAAUAAAAUAACCGUAAGGCAGGGGUGGGCAACCCAUGACCCUCAGGCUGCAUGCAGCCCACAUUGCAUAAAAUAUGAAUAACUAUAUCAA
rnacentral:lncRNA from 1 species